UACGAAGGGUGCAAACGUUGCUCGGAAUUAUUGGGCGUAAAGCGCACGUAGGCGGCUUUGCAAGUCCCAUGUGAAAUCCCACGGCUCAACCGUGGAAGUGCAUGGGAAACUGCAGAGCUUGAGUACUUAAGAGGAUCGCGGAAUUCCCGGUGUAGAGGUGAAAUUCGUAGAUAUUAGGAAGAACACCAGUGGCGAAGGCGGCUCACUGGUCCGGUACUGACGCUGAGGUGCGAAAGCGUGGGGAGCAAACAGG
rnacentral:rRNA from 1 species